UUUUUGUUUCUAAUAAUGAACAUUAAUAUAAACAGUUUCAUAACAUGAACGGACACGGUCACCUUAAUACAUAAACUCAAAAAACAAAAAUCUCAUAAAAUUUUAAAUUACAAAUUUUACUAUCGUGUCACAUUAAAUUACCUAUCAAAAAAACUCAGAGUCCGUUAAUUGCUUAACUAAGUCCGAUUUUAACCACGUGUCCCUACCAAGAUCUAUUAUUAUUAAUAUCGAGUCGAGUAGGUAGCAGCGUGCGCGCUCAUAAUUGUAUUAAUCAUUCAGCGCGACCGGCAGACGUCGAUUUUCUUCAACAAAGUGCUCUUGUUUGUUUUUUUCGUAAGGAAGUCGGCCGAAGGUGAACCGUGGGAACGCCGGGCGGGUGCACUUCCCAAAACAUCGACGCACGGCAGCGAACCGACAUGCGCCGAACAGAAAGAAACACAGUCAUACUGUAACUUACAAGUCGAACGGAGACAGAAGACAUGACGUGUGCGCGCCAAGCGACAGCUCGCGAUCGCGUGAUCAUCUACAAGAAAUAAUAAAACGGCAAUAAAAGAAACACGAGACAACUGUAAGCGUGGCUAGUACGUGCGAGCGGGACGGCCUCGGUGGACGUGCGCCUGCGCGCGCGCAACUUACCGCAUUCGAAUUUCAAAGAUCAAUGAUCGAAGCGAUAAGCUGCAUGAGUAAAAGAGAAGCAAGUACAAAAUUCAAAAGAGGGAAAAAGAUAGAGAUCUCAAAGGACGAAAAGAAAAUUGACACUGUCAGACUGGAGUGUGUUACUAGAGCAAUAAGCUAGAACUGGCAAGUUAUUGGCAAGAAGAGGAUGACGUGAUGACACUUCGAAACUGAAACACCUUGGAAGCAACUAGAUUGUCUUAAUUAAAUCGUAUUGUUUGCUCCAACAAAACAUACACUCGACUAUCGUUUGAUUGAUUGGUGAAAAUAAAAAAGUUAUAAGUACUUAUAACAAAAGCACAAUGUCGAAAAAAAGGCUGAUGGUGAGACUUUACAAAAGAGUGAAGAUGAGGAUGGAGAGAUGAAGAGGGAAGAAAGAAGAGGAAGAGGUAUCCGUCCUCACCUCCAUCUCAGCAUGCCACUUGAUGCUCAAACCUGCACAUAUAGGCCCAUACCAGCAAUUUCAUCACUCCUGCCUCGAUAGGCAGGGAGUUACAUGCCCCCCCGGAGGCCCACUCCGCGCCCCCGCAAGGGGACGCAACGACCCCACGGAACUACCUUAACUACAUAGUUCAAAUGAAGCUAGUAUAAGCUCUUUAGGUAGCAGGCAGUAUGUAGGCAAAAAAAAUCCAAAUCACGAAAAUUUAAGCAACCCAAUCAGUGAAGCUGUUUUCAAAGUGUUGCUCCGUCAUACAAUUUAAUGGCAAUUGAUAUUAAGUUUUAGAUUUACAUAAAAUACAUUUCCACGACAUUCCUAUAAAAUUGUAUGGUUCGUUUCACCAAAUUAACACUAAUUAAAAGCAAUUCACUAAACUUUCUGUGCAUUUUAUGAACUCAAAAUCAAUAACGACUUAAAUGAUUUAAAGUAUUAUUAAUAUAAAAACUUGUCAAAUUAUCGAAUAAUAUGUGUCAAUAUUAUAAUAAUAAAUAGAUCUAAUAUUCAAUUACUAUUCACGAAUAUUUCGGUAAGUUGAAAUUAAAUAGUGUAGGGUCGUGCCACACUGAUUUGUACGCGUGACGAUAAUAAUAAACACGCAUGCAUAAUCUCGCAUUUUCCUAGUUAAAAGUCGUAACAGACAUACCUUGAUUCGUUAAAUGAUAUCUUAAAUGUAUGCAAUAAAGUUGAAUUUACACUGUCAGUCUAAUAAUUAACGACCGUUUUCUUUAAUCUUAUAGAUCGUUUACGUCAGGGCACUCGAAGUUACCCGAGCGUGCCCGAAGACAUCCGAACGCUUUCGUGGGAAAAUACGGCAGGUGUUGCCGAUCCGCAGCACUUCUUGCUGAGUAAACACUCGUAUACAAAAUUAUAAGCGACUCGAACCGUCUGUGCAAAUGGAAAACAUAUUUUGUGUGCUUAAUGAUACUGUUUACUUUUUUGGUGCGGCUCGGUUAUCGGGCCAAGGAGUUUUUUUUUUUUUUUUGCGGGAAACGGGUUCGAAUUUUAAAUACUGAGUCACGAUCUUGUGGCAUUAUUUGAUUUGCGAUUAAAUUGAAUGUCACGAAAACGUAUGAGCAUCUUUUUUAUAUAUUUUUUUGUGUGUGUAAAUUAUUAUAGUCGUUUUCUGAUAUGGAAUAUGAACGAUUGUCUACGUUUAAGGCUAUGUCAAGUUAAUUAAUCCCCCUAAAUUGUAAUACAUAUAAUGACUUGCUCUGAGCACCGAAUAUUGAAACAUAAGUUUGAAAAAAAUAUUCCUUGAACUUACAAAAUGGUGUUAAAUUGGCGUAAUUAAGGUUAAUAUUUUUUCCAAGUUUCAGAAUGAUCGCUAUGCCACUGUUAGUAAACAAAAUAUAUUUAUUAAUUGUGUUAUUUGGCAUGUUUAAAGAAAACAUCAAAUUAAAUAUAAUGCACAGCCGAUUAAAUAAGCGGAAAAUUUGCUAUUUUCGUAAAACACAUUUCAACGGACAUUUUAGGCGGGAACCUAAAUUGUGAUGUUAUGUUGUUAGUGUUGUAAUUUGUAAAUUUUUAUAUUAUUAUAUUCACGUUUAUUAUUCAAGCUUGGACAUAGCAUACUCAUAUUAAUUGCUGAUUUUAAACCACUAAAUAUUUGAAAAAUUCAACGAGUGAAGAGAAACAGAACACGAAUGCUGGACGUAGGUAGCUUCUCAGCACUUUUAAAAAAAAUCUAUUGUAGUUUCAAAAAAUUCCCGCCAAGUUAUUAUUACUUAAAUAUUAUUAGCAAAACUGAGAAAAACUAUAACGGCAGAUAACCAAUGGCCGUAAAUAAACAACAGCUUUUUUUUUAUUUAACAGGUACUGCACAAAGUUUUUUUUAUAUAAAUUAAACCAUCAUCUACAAUCCAAUGUGACUUGUAAUCGAUACAGCGAAAUUAUCGUCAAUAAUGGUAUUAUUACUUGAACACCCAAUUAUUUUGGUAUAAUCGAAAUUGAACCUUACUGCUUCGAACGUAAAUGCUGUCAGUGAUAUUUACGGACAUAGUACUGCAAUUACUUCCAUAAUUAUACGACCAAGACGCGACCUUCAACCGCCUUAUAACUGUUUGGAAAUUCAUAUGACAUUUCUCGAAAACUCAUACAGUUUAAUGGUUUUCGAAGAUAAAUUAACAAAAACCAACACAUUCUCUUCCCUUGAGAUUUUGAUAUUCCCAAAAAAAAAUUUAUCGCCAACCCGUGAACCGCAUAUUUUUAUUCAGAUGAAUGAAUUUUUUCAAUGAUAAGGAAGUGAAUAUACUGCAUUUGUGUGUGCCCAUAGUACACGGUACAAUUAAGAUACCGUUACAAUUCGCUUCUGGCUAGUUUGACAUUUAAAAAUUACUUGACAUUUUCCAAGAAGCGCUUUUUAUGUGUUUCUGGAUUAAAAACAAGAACAAGUAAAAGUAAGUACACAAUGCAAUAAGAAUGGAGUUUGUAUAAUCCUGUAAAAUAGUUACAACUAGUGAAAUCCUGUGGAUAAAUAUGUAGAAAAACAUAGAUUUAUUUCAACCAAUUUUUUUUUAAAGGGAUUUCAUGACCUUGUAACUGAGACCUUUAAAUCAUGUCUUAUUUUAAGUUAUAUUCAUUUUUUUAUGAAAAAUGCUAUUAUGGAGUGAAAUGAAAUGAAGAUGAUUAAUUUGAGACAUUAAUCAACUGGGAUGAAAUUAAAUGAAAUGAAAUGGGAUGAAAUAUAAUCUCAGUAAAAUGGUGGUCAUUUACUAAGAUUUUUUCAGUGGACUUUUUGGAGGGUCCCGAGAAGUUACGUGCAGCAGCUUUGUUUCAUUUUCCCACAUUUGUGCACUUUCACAGAUAUUAAACAGUUAAUAAACCACCAUUAUUACACAUUUAAACCCGAAGAAACACUAAAUAUACAAAAUAAAACAAAUCACACAUCACUCCUCGCGUUCCCGCCAAAAAGUCCUAUUUAUUUUAGUUUUCAAAUCACCCAUAGAGUAUCUCGCCCACAGCUCACAGCCCACAGAGUAUUUCGCCGGAUCUUCUUAAUGGGUCGCGAUUCCGAUCCGGUGGUAGACUCUGCGAAGCACUGCUCUUGCUAGGCCUAGUGUUAGCAAAUUCUCUCUGGUUGAGCCCGUGAGCUCAUCUACCCGUCCGGGCGUAGCUGGAAUAGACUCUUAGGAUACCAGUGAACAGGUAGGAAAUAAAAUCAAAUCAAAAUAUAUUUUAUGAAAGUUACCCUCUUUAAUAACAAGCAGUUAUUGAAGUAAUUUAUACAUUAUUUUUAAUUUCGUUGAUUCUUGAUCCGUGUGCUAAUUUCCAAGUUAAACUAACCUCAUUUCUAGUACAAAUAUAGACAAAAUGAACUAGUGAUAGCGUAUUAAGAUAACUAAAAUAAUUGUUACAGAUCAUAUCUUUUCUUUUCCAUGUACACAGUUCUAUGCCAGAUUUAAUCAUGAAUAAUGAGAGACUUAAAUGAAAAUUAAAAGCAACUUUUGAGAAUAUUUCAGAUAUUAUUUUUUACAUUUAAACAAAAAGAUCAAAACCUUAAAUUAUCCUGUAAGCCCAGGUGUCCAUAACUACAAACUAGUACAUACUUAAUGAUAGAUUAUUAUCGAGGUAAGAGUAUGGUUAUAUGACAAAUAAUUCUUAAAGAAAUUUGCUGCAUACGUAGGUACAUAUGUAAUAAGUGUAUUUAUUAUUUAAUGACUUAAAUUAACAAUGAUAAGUAUCGUUUCUACUUCUCAGAAUAUAAUUUAAAAAUAUAUAA